rnacentral:rRNA from 1 species
UGGUAAUGCCGGAUGCUCCGACUCCUCGCAUGGGGUGUCGGGAAAGAUUUCAUCGGUAUGGGAUGGGGUCGCGUCCUAUCAGGUAGUCGGCGGGGUAACGGCCCACCGAGCCUACGACGGGUAGCCGGCCUGAGAGGGCGACCGGCCACAUUGGGACUGAGAUACGGCCCAGACUCCUACGGGAGGCAGCAGUGGGGAAUAUUGCACAAUGGGCGCAAGCCUGAUGCAGCGACGCCGCGUGCGGGAUGACGGCCUUCGGGUUGUAAACCGCUUUUGAUCGGGAGCAAGCCUUCGGGUGAGUGUACCUUUCGAAUAAGCACCGGCUAACUACGUGCCAGCAGCCGCGGUAAUACGUAGGGUGCAAGCGUUAUCCGGAAUUAUUGGGCGUAAAGGGCUCGUAGGCGGUUCGUCGCGUCCGGUGUGAAAGUCCAUCGCUUAACGGUGGAUCUGCGCCGGGUACGGGCGGGCUGGAGUGCGGUAGGGGAGACUGGAAUUCCCGGUGUAACGGUGGAAUGUGUAGAUAUCGGAAAAAAAACACC